GUGUGUAUUCUGUUUCAUUAUUACCUAUAUAUUGUUUAAUCGUUUUAAUAUUGUAUGUUCCAGAACGAUAGAAAACGUCUGUUUUCUUACCGGCAGCUUUUGAUUAAUUGUACGUUACUUUCACUUUCAUUGUUACCGGAAGUCACGAGUAUUAUUAUAAAUAUAGUGACCCUAGAAAUCGUAUAAUAUGUAGACUGUCCUGAACAUGUUGUAGUUAUAGUUUUGUAUGUUUUUCAAAUUAGGAACACAUGUUAGAGUAUUUUAUGUAAAGUUUAUUUAGAAGAGAGCUUUAUUUCGAUUAUUGUAAUAAGUUCUUAUGAACUAUUUUUGCACCGACGUUGCGCACCUUUUCGUAGUUAUUGGGCUGUAUCGACGUCAUUUGAUCAGACGUUUAGUGCAAAGAUAUGUACCUUAUAAGGAAGUCUCCUUAUUAGGUCAUUGAUUUCACCCCAUAUUUGGAAUAUUUCUCACGCGAAAUAACAACACUAGCGUAAGAUUUAUAGUAUUUUACGUCAGUUCCAGCUUGUCCCUGCCGCCGGCUAGCAGCUUUAUUUACUUUCUCAUAAAUUUCAAGGUACAGUUGUCUUUCUAAAGCAGAAGUUUUAAUAUCUUUUAAGUUCCAGAAUAUUGCAAUAUUUAUGCAAUAUAAUUAUUUAUGCAGUUCAUUUAAUUGUUCCAGUUUCCAGUUUUUAACGGAGGCAGAAAUUUAAUAGUUUUAAAGAGAAUAAAGUUUGAUAAUGAAUUUUAACUUUAAAUAGGAGAAAGGUGCGUAAAGUCGGCAAUAGUGUCCGUUUGUUUUAAAUAGUCAGGGUUGUUGUUAAGGGGUUAGGAACAUUGUGACUUAUUUAUUUGCGUAGUAUUUUACUUGUAUUUACAUAGAGAGUUGCUGAUAGUAUCUGUGUUUGUUGAAUGCUGAUUUUGGUGUAGCUGUUUUAAAGAAUUCUCUGUUUGUCUAAUCUAUACGAAAUAUUGUUAAUUAUUGAUCGCUGCUUUAAGAGAUUUAUAUCUGUCCAUUCUUGUUCCUGUUGUUAUUAAUAUUAUGUCUGGUGAAUAAAACUUGUUAUACAUUU
rnacentral:lncRNA from 1 species